CACGUAGGGGGCAAGCGUUGUCCGGAUUUAUUGGGCGUAAAGAGCUCGUAGGCGGUUCGAUAAGUCGGGUGUGAAACCUCCAGGCUCAACCUGGAGACGCCACCCGAUACUGUCGUGACUAGAGUCCAGUAGGGGAGCGUGGAAUUCCUGGUGUAGCGGUGAAAUGCGCAGAUAUCAGGAGGAACACCAGCGGCGAAGGCGGCGCUCUGGGCUGGCACUGACGCUGAGGAGCGAAAGCGUGGGGAGCGAACAGG
rnacentral:rRNA from 1 species